rnacentral:rRNA from 1 species
GUGACUGCGUACCUUUUGUAUAAUGGGUCAGCGACUUAUAUUCUGUAGCAAGGUUAACCGAAUAGGGGAGCCGAAGGGAAACCGAGUCUUAACUGGGCGUUAAGUUGCAGGGUAUAGACCCGAAACCCGGUGAUCUAGCCAUGGGCAGGUUGAAGGUUGGGUAACACUAACUGGAGGACCGAACCGACUAAUGUUGAAAAAUUAGCGGAUGACUUGUGGCUGGGGGUGAAAGGCCAAUCAAACCGGGAGAUAGCUGGUUCUCCCCGAAAGCUAUUUAGGUAGCGCCUCGUGAAUUCAUCUCCGGGGGUAGAGCACUGUUUCGGCAAGGGGGUCAUCCCGACUUACCAACCCGAUGCAAACUGCGAAUACCGGAGAAUGUUAUCACGGGAGACACACGGCGGGUGCUAACGUCCGUCGUGAAGAGGGAAACAACCCAGACCGCCAGCUAAGGUCCCAAAGUCAUGGUUAAGUGGGAAACGAUGUGGGAAGGCCCAGACAGCCAGGAUGUUGGCUUAGAAGCAGCCAUCAUUUAAAGAAAGCGUAAUAGCUCACUGGUCGAGUCGGCCUGCGCGGAAGAUGUAACGGGGCUAAACCAUGCACCGAAGCUGCGGCAGCGACGCUUAUGCGUUGUUGGGUAGGGGAGCGUUCUGUAAGCCUGUGAAGGUGUGCUGUGAGGCAUGCUGGAGGUAUCAGAAGUGCGAAUGCUGACAUAAGUAACGAUAAAGCGGGUGAAAAGCCCGCUCGCCGGAAGACCAAGGGUUCCUGUCCAACGUUAAUCGGGGCAGGGUGAGUCGACCCCUAAGGCGAGGCCGAAAGGCGUAGUCGAUGGGAAACAGGUUAAUAUUCCUGUACUUGGUGUUACUGCGAAGGGGGGACGGAGAAGGCUAUGUUGGCCGGGCGACGGUUGUCCCGGUUUAAGCGUGUAGGCUGGUUUUCCAGGCAAAUCCGGAAAAUCAAGGCUGAGGCGUGAUGACGAGGCACUACGGUGCUGAAGCAACAAAUGCCCUGCUUCCAGGAAAAGCCUCUAAGCAUCAGGUAACAUCAAAUCGUACCCCAAACCGACACAGGUGGUCAGGUAGAGAAUACCAAGGCGCUUGAGAGAACUCGGGUGAAGGAACUAGGCAAAAUGGUGCCGUAACUUCGGGAGAAGGCACGCUGAUAUGUAGGUGAAGCGACUUGCUCGUGGAGCUGAAAUCAGUCGAAGAUACCAGCUGGCUGCAACUGUUUAUUAAAAACACAGCACUGUGCAAACACGAAAGUGGACGUAUACGGUGUGACGCCUGCCCGGUGCCGGAAGGUUAAUUGAUGGGGUCAGCGCAAGCGAAGCUCUUGAUCGAAGCCCCGGUAAACGGCGGCCGUAACUAUAACGGUCCUAAGGUAGCGAAAUUCCUUGUCGGGUAAGUUCCGACCUGCACGAAUGGCGUAAUGAUGGCCAGGCUGUCUCCACCCGAGACUCAGUGAAAUUGAACUCGCUGUGAAGAUGCAGUGUACCCGCGGCAAGACGGAAAGACCCCGUGAACCUUUACUAUAGCUUGACACUGAACAUUGAGCCUUGAUGUGUAGGAUAGGUGGGAGGCUUAGAAGUGUGGACGCCAGUCUGCAUGGAGCCGACCUUGAAAUACCACCCUUUAAUGUUUGAUGUUCUAACGUUGACCCGUAAUCCGGGUUGCGGACAGUGUCUGGUGGGUAGUUUGACUGGGGCGGUCUCCUCCUAAAGAGUAACGGAGGAGCACGAAGGUUGGCUAAUCCUGGUCGGACAUCAGGAGGUUAGUGCAAUGGCAUAAGCCAGCUUGACUGCGAGCGUGACGGCGCGAGCAGGUGCGAAAGCAGGUCAUAGUGAUCCGGUGGUUCUGAAUGGAAGGGCCAUCGCUCAACGGAUAAAAGGUACUCCGGGGAUAACAGGCUGAUACCGCCCAAGAGUUCAUAUCGACGGCGGUGUUUGGCACCUCGAUGUCGGCUCAUCACAUCCUGGGGCUGAAGUAGGUCCCAAGGGUAUGGCUGUUCGCCAUUUAAAGUGGUACGCGAGCUGGGUUUAGAACGUCGUGAGACAGUUCGGUCCCUAUCUGCCGUGGGCGCUGGAGAACUGAGGGGGGCUGCUCCUAGUACGAGAGGACCGGAGUGGACGCAUCACUGGUGUUCGGGUUGUCAUGCCAAUGGCACUGCCCGGUAGCUAAAUGCGGAAGAGAUAAGUGCUGAAAGCAUCUAAGCACGAAACUUGCCCCGAGAUGAGUUCUCCCUGACCCUUUAAGGGUCCUGAAGGAACGUUGAAGACGACGACGUUGAUAGGCCGGGUGUGUAAGCGCAGCGAUGCGUUGAGCUAACCGGUACUAAUGAACCGUGAGGCUUAACCUUACAACGCCGAAG